GAUGAACGCUGGCGGCGUGCUUAACACAUGCAAGUCGAGCGAGAAGACUUUGACAGAUCCUUCGGGUGAUGGAUGAGUUGGAAAGCGGCGGACGGGUGAGUAACGCGUGGGCAACCUGCCCCAUACAGGAGGAUAGCCACUGGAAACGGUGAUUAAUACUCCAUAAGACCACAGCACCACAUGGUGCAGAGGUAAAAACUCCGGUGGUAUGGGAUGGGCCCGCGUCUGAUUAGCUAGUUGGUAAGGUAACGGCUUACCAAGGCGACGAUCAGUAGCCGACCUGAGAGGGUGAUCGGCCACACUGGAACUGAGACACGGUCCAGACUCCUACGGGAGGCAGCAGUGGGGAAUAUUGCACAAUGGGCGAAAGCCUGAUGCAGCAACGCCGCGUGAACGAUGAAGGCCUUCGGGUUGUAAAGUUCUUUUCUUGGAGAAGAAUAAAUGACGGUAUCCAAGGAAUAAGCCCCGGCUAACUACGUGCCAGCAGCCGCGGUAAUACGUAGGGGGCAAGCGUUAUCCGGAAUCACUGGGCGUAAAGGGAGUGUAGGCGGUCAAGCAAGUCAGAGGUGAAAGGCAUCGGCUCAACCGGUGUAAGCCUUUGAAACUGUUUGACUUGAGUGCAGGANAGGUAAGUGGAAUUCCUAGUGUAGCGGUGAAAUGCGUAAAUUUUAGGAGGAACCCCGUGGCGANGCGAUUACUGGACUGUACUUGACCUGAGCUCGAAGCGUGGGGGCGAC
rnacentral:rRNA from 1 species